rnacentral:rRNA from 1 species
ACUCCUACGGGAGGCAGCAGUGGGGAAUCUUGGACAAGGCGGGACCACCUGUCCAGCCAUGCCGCGUGAGUGAUGAAGGCCUUAGGGUCGUAAAGCUCUUUCGCCUGUGAAGAUAAUGACGGUAGCAGGUAAAGAAACCCCGGCUAACUCCGUGCCAGCAGCCGCGGUAAUACGGAGGGGUUAGCGUUGUUCGGAAUUACUGGGCGUAAAGCGCACGUAGGCGGAUCGGAAAGUUGGGGUGAAAUCCCGGGGCUCAACCCCGGAACGGCCUCCAAAACUAUCGGUCUAGAGUUCGAGAGAGGUGAGUGGAAUUCCGAGUGUAGAGGUGAAAUUCGUAGAUAUUCGGAGGAACACCAGUGGCGAAGGCGGCUCACUGGCUCGAUACUGACGCUGAGGUGCGAAAGUGUGGGGAGCAAACAGGAUUAGAUACCCUGGUAGGCGUAG